CCUACGGGGGGCAGCAGUGGGGAAUAUUGGACAAUGGGGGCAACCCUGAUCCAGCCAUGCCGCGUGUGUGAAGAAGGCCCUCGGGUUGUAAAGCACUUUCAGUGAGGAAGAACGCCUGGUGGUUAAUACCCAUCAGGAAAGACAUCACUCACAGAAGAAGCACCGGCUAACUCCGUGCCAGCAGCCGCGGUAAUACAGAGGGUGCGAGCGUUAAUCGGAAUUACUGGGCGUAAAGCGCGCGUAGGUGGCUUGAUAAGCCGGUUGUGAAAGCCCCGGGCUCAACCUGGGAACGGCAUCCGGAACUGUCAAGCUAGAGUGCAGGAGAGGAAGGUAGAAUUCCCGGUGUAGCGGUGAAAUGCGUAGAGAUCGGGAGGAAUACCAGUGGCGAAGGCGGCCUUCUGGACUGACACUGACACUGAGGUGCGAAAGCGUGGGUAGCAAACAGGAUUAGAUACCCCUGUAGUC
rnacentral:rRNA from 1 species